rnacentral:rRNA from 1 species
UGGAUAAGCCUGGGAAACUGGGUCUAAUACCGGAUAGGAGCCAUUUUUAGUGUGAUGGUUGGAAAGUUUUUUCGGUGUAGGAUGAGCUCGCGGCCUAUCAGCUUGUUGGUGGGGUAAUGGCCUACCAAGGCGGCGACGGGUAGCCGGCCUGAGAGGGUGGACGGCAACAUUGGGACUGAGAUACGGCCCAG